rnacentral:misc_RNA from 1 species
CUUGAGAAUCUCAGCCAUUGCCCACUCUACUGUUGUGGUAUUAGUUUCUACGCCCGCACUAAACAAUUCGACAAUCAACCAAUUGAUUAGAUCGUCAUCGAAGCCAUUGGAAAGAAAAACAUCCAAGAAAUCUGUUAUGGGAUCAUCAUUGACAUGCUUUUCUCUUCUUUCUUUGAUGUAAAUUUCCCAUACACCAAUCAUUUCCUCAACGCACUCUGACAUCUUUCUUCUUAGACCCUGAGGAUCCAACCCUGCUAAGAUGGGAUAAAAAUCAGCCAUAUUUGGAGCAGCGGCCAACUCCAUCAUCCUCGAUACCAGGCUUUUCAAUCCACUAGCCACCUCUUGAUCUUCCAAACCAAUCAUGUCCUUGGAGAAUAAAAG